UACAGACACAUUCACAAGAACUAGAUUGCUAUUUCGAAAUGGGUUACACUUUAGCAAUUAUUUCAAAAAUGGCAUUCUGUCAAGAAAGCUGGCUGAUGACUCUGUGCGUGAAAGCAUUUGAAAGAAAGCAAUCGCUGCGGUGACUGGUUAAAGAGAUGUUAACAGACGAGGCUUUUGUGCGACCCACUAAACACGUGUGAUUAUCUAUCCCCUCUGAGCAACAGUGCUGCUUGGCAGAACAUCCACCCAUGCAGGGAGGCCAAACAGGAGGUGCUCAUUAUUUACCUUCACCCAAGAGAUGCAAGUUUGAAGGAAAAAGGAAAUAAGACUGACUUUGACCCUGGAUGUACAAAUGCGGCAGACCAGGAGGAAAGUCAACAUUCACCAUUGCAGCCACCUCCCCCGCCAACAACCUUACCCACGUCAGCAUGAAACCUCCUUGGGUCAUAUAUUCCAUUAUUUCGGUAAAAUGAGAUAAUAACUCCAUUCUUUGUUGAGCUUAAUAACUAUCAAUCAAAAUGACG